rnacentral:rRNA from 1 species
AGAGUUUGAUCAUGGCUCAGAACGAACGUUGGCGGCGUGGAUUAGGCAUGCAAGUCGAACGAAGACGUUCGGGUAGCAAUAUUCGAACGGACUGAGUGGCGAAAGGGGCAGUAAUGCAUGGGCAACCUACCUCGGGGAUGGGCAUAGCCGUUCUAACGGACGGGUAAUUCCCAGCGAUUUGGCGGAGCGGCAUCGCUUUGCCAAGAAAUGGAUUCCGCCUCAUGAGGGGCUCAUGUCGUAUUAGCUAGUUGGCGGGGUAAUGGCCCACCAAGGCAAAGAUGCGUAGCGGGUGUGAGAGCACGACCCGCGCCACUGGCACUGAGACACUGGCCAGACACCUACGGGUGGCUGCAGUCGAGGAUCUUCGGCAAUGGGCGCAAGCCUGACCGAGCGACGCCGCGUGUGCGAUGAAGGCCUUCGGGUUGUAAAGCACUGUCGAGGGGGAUAAAACCGCAAGGUUGAUAGUCCCUGAGAGC